AGCGAACGCUGGCGGCAGGCUUAACACAUGCAAGUCGAACGGUCCUUCGGGAUAGUGGCGGACGGGUGAGUAACACGUGGGAACGUACCCUUAGGUUCGGAACAACACAGGGAAACUUGUGCUAAUACCGGAUAAGCCCUUCGGGGGAAAGAUUUAUCGCCUUUGGAGCGGCCCGCGUCUGAUUAGCUUGUUGGUGAGGUAAUGGCUCACCAAGGCUACGAUCAGUAGCUGGUCUGAGAGAAUGGCCAGCCACACUGGGACUGAGACACGGCCCAGACUCCUACGGGAGGAAGCAGUGGGGAAUCUGGCGAAAGGGGCGAAACCCUGACGCAGCCAGCCCGCGGGGAUGUUGAAGGUCUAAGAUUUGAAAAAUCCUUUCACGGGGGACGAUAAUGACGGUACCCGGAGAAGAAGCCCCGGCUACCUCCGUGCCAGCCGCCGCCGUAA
rnacentral:rRNA from 1 species